rnacentral:rRNA from 1 species
UACGUAGGGUGCAAGCGUUGUCCGGAAUUAUUGGGCGUAAAGGGCUCGUAGGCGGUUUGUCGCGUCGGGAGUGAAAUCCACCGGCCUAACUGGUGGCUUGCUUUCGAUACGGGCAGACUGGAGGUAUGCAGGGGAGAACGGAAUUCCUGGUGUAGCGGUGAAAUGCGUAGAUAUCUGGAGGAACACCGGUGGCGAAGGCGGCAUCCUGGACCGGUAUUGACGCUGAGGAGCGAAAGCCAGGGGAGCAAAGCGGG